rnacentral:tRNA from 3 species
GGGUAGGUACCAAAGCGGCUAAAUGGGUGUGGCUGUAAACCACAUGACUUCGGUCUUCGGGGGUUCAAAUCCCUCCCUACCCA